rnacentral:lncRNA from 1 species
UAAAAUAAAUAGUUGUUAUUGAAGUUAACCAACAGUUACAGAGGAUGUGUAAUCUGAACAAAGUUUGUGGUAUAAGAAAGUUUUAUGAGUAGUGUUGAAGUAUGAUUAAAUUUUAUUUAUUAUGUUCCAGAGAAUUUCUUACCCAUAAGAAUUGUCAUUUUAUUUGUUAUUGACAAAGUGAAAAUAAGAUGACAUGUGUGUAUUUUCAGACGGGCAUUGGUCUAGUUAUGUAUGUUUUGUGUUCGUUUAAUUUUUGUUUGUUUAUAAUCAAGUUGAUUUUUCUGUAGG